rnacentral:rRNA from 1 species
UACGUAGGGGCGCAAGCGUUGUCCGGAAUUAUUGGGCGUAAAGGAGCUCGUAGGCGGUUUGUCGCGUCUGUCGUGGAAAGCCCACGGCUUAACCGUGGGUCUGCGGUGGAUACGGGCAGACUAGAGGCAGGUAGGGGAGAAUGGAAUUCCCGGUGUAGCGGUGAAAUGCGCAGAUAUCGGGAGGAGCACCGGUGGCGAAGGCGGUUCUCUGGGCCUGUACUGACGCUGAGGAGCGAAAGCGUGGGGAGCGAACAGG